AGGAAGCUGCAAGCUGGGGAAAGCAGCCUAGAGCCAGGAAUGCAGCAAUUAAGCUCACCGCAGGAGGGUACAAGACGCUGGAGAAGCGCAGAAACUAGAAACCUGAAAAACAAAAACAGAAAUAGUUACGUGUGGAGGAAACAGCUGGAGACUGAAUGCACCAGCACCAGUAACCACAUUUAAUAAAAGCAGCAGGAAGAUUUGGGUUGGGAACUGAGAUUAUUCGAGAGCCCUGGGGCUGUUUGCAAGAGCAGCUACUCUCACAAGACAGGUGAGGCUGUGGAGCCAGGGAGACAGAAAGGUAAGUCUAAUAAUUGUCCCUGUUGUUUUAGAACCAGCAACACACUUCUAUUUCUGUCAGAGCCUCUCUACAGAAAAUUCAGAAAGGCAAAGACUGGCAUUUCCUGCAGCUGAGCCUUCCAUAAAAGCCACAGAAUUUUAAGGGAUAAUCCACCUGUGAUGAGAAAGGCCUGAGAAAAAAAGAGGCAACGAAAGCUGCGAGGAUGAGAUUCAAAGACAAAUUCCCAAACAUCUGGAGAUCUUAGUGCUCCCACAUGAUUCUGUUAUCAUCACAAAGGCUUACGGUGAUGUAACCCCAAAGACCUUUGCAAGGAUGCAGGAGUGGAUCAGUCUUAUAUCUUGAGCUCCUAAAAAUGGAUGUGCCCAAUUCCCUACAGUUUAGA